GGUUAAGCGACUAAGCGUACACGGUGGAUGCCCUGGCAGUCAGAGGCGAUGAAGGACGUGCUAAUCUGCGAUAAGCGUCGGUAAGGUGAUAUGAACCGUUAUAACCGGCGAUUUCCGAAUGGGGAAACCCAGUGUGAUUCGUCACACUAUCAUUAACUGAAUCCAUAGGUUAAUGAGGCGAACCGGGGGAACUGAAACAUCUAAGUACCCCGAGGAAAAGAAAUCAACCGAGAUUCCCCCAGUAGCGGCGAGCGAACGGGGAGCAGCCCAGAGCCUGAAUCAGUGUGUGUGUUAGUGGAAGCGUCUGGAAAGGCGCGCGAUACAGGGUGACAGCCCCGUACACAAAAAUGCACAUACUGUGAGCUCGAUGAGUAGGGCGGGACACGUGGUAUCCUGUCUGAAUAUGGGGGGACCAUCCUCCAAGGCUAAAUACUCCUGACUGACCGAUAGUGAACCAGUACCGUGAGGGAAAGGCGAAAAGAACCCCGGCGAGGGGAGUGAAAAAGAACCUGAAACCGUGUACGUACAAGCAGUGGGAGCACAGAGCAAUCUGUGUGACUGCGUACCUUUUGUAUAAUGGGUCAGCGACUUAUAUUCUGUAGCAAGGUUAACCGAAUAGGGGAGCCGAAGGGAAACCGAGUCUUAACUGGGCGUUAAGUUGCAGGGUAUAGACCCGAAACCCGGUGAUCUAGCCAUGGGCAGGUUGAAGGUUGGGUAACACUAACUGGAGGACCGAACCGACUAAUGUUGAAAAAUUAGCGGAUGACUUGUGGCUGGGGGUGAAAGGCCAAUCAAACCGGGAGAUAGCUGGUUCUCCCCGAAAGCUAUUUAGGUAGCGCCUCGUGAAUUCAUCUCCGGGGGUAGAGCACUGUUUCGGCAAGGGGGUCAUCCCGACUUACCAACCCGAUGCAAACUGCGAAUACCGGAGAAUGUUAUCACGGGAGACACACGGCGGGUGCUAACGUCCGUCGUGAAGAGGGAAACAACCCAGACCGCCAGCUAAGGUCCCAAAGUCAUGGUUAAGUGGGAAACGAUGUGGGAAGGCCCAGACAGCCAGGAUGUUGGCUUAGAAGCAGCCAUCAUUUAAAGAAAGCGUAAUAGCUCACUGGUCGAGUCGGCCUGCGCGGAAGAUGUAACGGGGCUAAACCAUGCACCGAAGCUGCGGCAGCGACGCUGAUGCGUUGUUGGGUAGGGGAGCGUUCUGUAAGCCUGUGAAGGUGUGCUGUGAGGCAUGCUGGAGGUAUCAGAAGUGCGAAUGCUGACAUAAGUAACGAUAAAGCGGGUGAAAAGCCCGCUCGCCGGAAGACCAAGGGUUCCUGUCCAACGUUAAUCGGGGCAGGGUGAGUCGACCCCUAAGGCGAGGCCGAAAGGCGUAGUCGAUGGGAAACAGGUUAAUAUUCCUGUACUUGGUGUUACUGCGAAGGGGGGACGGAGAAGGCUAUGUUGGCCGGGCGACGGUUGUCCCGGUUUAAGCGUGUAGGCUGGUUUUCCAGGCAAAUCCGGAAAAUCAAGGCUGAGGCGUGAUGACGAGGCACUACGGUGCUGAAGCAACAAAUGCCCUGCUUCCAGGAAAAGCCUCUAAGCAUCAGGUAACAUCAAAUCGUACCCCAAACCGACACAGGUGGUCAGGUAGAGAAUACCAAGGCGCUUGAGAGAACUCGGGUGAAGGAACUAGGCAAAAUGGUGCCGUAACUUCGGGAGAAGGCACGCUGAUAUGUAGGUGAAGUCCCUCGCGGAUGGAGCUGAAAUCAGUCGAAGAUACCAGCUGGCUGCAACUGUUUAUUAAAAACACAGCACUGUGCAAACACGAAAGUGGACGUAUACGGUGUGACGCCUGCCCGGUGCCGGAAGGUUAAUUGAUGGGGUUAGCGCAAGCGAAGCUCUUGAUCGAAGCCCCGGUAAACGGCGGCCGUAACUAUAACGGUCCUAAGGUAGCGAAAUUCCUUGUCGGGUAAGUUCCGACCUGCACGAAUGGCGUAAUGAUGGCCAGGCUGUCUCCACCCGAGACUCAGUGAAAUUGAACUCGCUGUGAAGAUGCAGUGUACCCGCGGCAAGACGGAAAGACCCCGUGAACCUUUACUAUAGCUUGACACUGAACAUUGAGCCUUGAUGUGUAGGAUAGGUGGGAGGCUUUGAAGUGUGGACGCCAGUCUGCAUGGAGCCGACCUUGAAAUACCACCCUUUAAUGUUUGAUGUUCUAACGUUGACCCGUGAUCCGGGUUGCGGACAGUGUCUGGUGGGUAGUUUGACUGGGGCGGUCUCCUCCUAAAGAGUAACGGAGGAGCACGAAGGUUGGCUAAUCCUGGUCGGACAUCAGGAGGUUAGUGCAAUGGCAUAAGCCAGCUUGACUGCGAGCGUGACGGCGCGAGCAGGUGCGAAAGCAGGUCAUAGUGAUCCGGUGGUUCUGAAUGGAAGGGCCAUCGCUCAACGGAUAAAAGGUACUCCGGGGAUAACAGGCUGAUACCGCCCAAGAGUUCAUAUCGACGGCGGUGUUUGGCACCUCGAUGUCGGCUCAUCACAUCCUGGGGCUGAAGUAGGUCCCAAGGGUAUGGCUGUUCGCCAUUUAAAGUGGUACGCGAGCUGGGUUUAGAACGUCGUGAGACAGUUCGGUCCCUAUCUGCCGUGGGCGCUGGAGAAUUGAGGGGGGCUGCUCCUAGUACGAGAGGACCGGAGUGGACGCAUCACUGGUGUUCGGGUUGUCAUGCCAAUGGCACUGCCCGGUAGCUAAAUGCGGAAGAGAUAAGUGCUGAAAGCAUCUAAGCACGAAACUUGCCCCGAGAUGAGUUCUCCCUGACUCCUUGAGAGUCCUGAAGGAACGUUGAAGACGACGACGUUGAUAGGCCGGGUGUGUAAGCGCAGCGAUGCGUUGAGCUAACCGGUACUAAUGAACCGUGAGGCUUAACCUU
rnacentral:rRNA from 1 species